CAGGGAUGCAAGGGCAGUGUCAAGCAUUAAACCAGUUCUGUUUAGACACACAGGAGAGUGAUGGCAGAACCAGGGACAAUCCCAUAUUCCCGUUUGGUUGUACCUGUGCUUCUCUUGCUUGGCUGGCUUGCAGGUUGCGUAUUAAUGGUGUACUAUGUCUUCUCUUAAGAGAGGGGAAGAAGCCAUUGCAAAGGAAUCUUCAAUCUAGAUGAAGACAGCUAUUUCUUUUUUAAAAAAGAAAUGCUAAAGCAAUUAUGUUUCAAUACAUUUCCAGCACCAUCAUAAUAUAUGCACUUGCCUGCUGAGUAUCUAGCACACGGAUUCUACAGUAGUUUUGUAAAUUAAAAUAACUUUAAAUUAAAACUGCACUGGGCAUUUGGUGGUGGCACCCUUUGUCUUGUGGCUAUUUUUAUUUCAUCAGCCAUAAAAAUAGACAUUUAUGUGUUCCAUGUAUUCCACCAUAAUUUAACAAUC